rnacentral:lncRNA from 1 species
GGGAACCAAGAGAGCAGGAAAGGCCAGCAGGGACGCAUCAUCAGAUGAUAGAGGAGGGAGGCAAAGAUCUCCCUUGAGGACGCCUUGGGCUCAUACCCUUCUUCGUAGGCUCGAAGCCCCUCAGGAGCUUGGAGUUAAACUUUUCCAGUCCUGUUCCACCCCCACACGCCAGGAACCGUCCACCUGUUAUCCUUUCUCCCCACGGGGGGAAAAAAACCUUUAAAUGACCAUUUUGUUUGUUUCACCUCCUGCUGCUCGUGUAGCCUUAGAAAUGAAGAACCAAAGGGUUACAGAAUUGUGUUUGAUGACUUUUUUCUUCUGUUUAAGUGAAUCCUCCACACAAUGUGAAGGAGACAAAUUUUUCACUCCACCGGCCAAUUACCACACUGAUGUGAGGACCCUGGAUUGGCCCACUUCCAAAUUUUGGAAAAACAUUGUCAAUCGUGAACUGUGUAUAACAAUCUGGCACAACAUGUGGAUGUUGAGAAAGGAAGCUGUGGAUUAGAGGUCCAAGAACUUUCCAGCCUAAGGAAACUUCACCCCACCCUCCAGGUCCAAGAGGAAAUUAGGGGUCUUGGCCAGUAAAGUCACGGCUUAGCUGAAGAGUGUAUAAAACUAAUAAAUAGUAAUUCUGGAUACCUUC